UACGAAGGGGGCGAGCGUUUGUUCGGAUUUACUGGGCGUAAAGGGCGCGUAGGCGGCCCUCCUAGUCGCGUGUGAAAGCCCCGGGCUACAACCUGGGAAUUGCGCGCGAAACGGGGGGGCUUGAGUUCGGGAGAGGAGCGUGGAAUUCCCAGUGUGGAGAGGUGAAAUUCGUAGAUAUUGGGAAGAACACCGGGUGGCGAAGCGGCGCUCUGGACC
rnacentral:rRNA from 1 species